GACGAACGCUGGCGGCGUGCUUAACACAUGCAAGUCGAACGGAAAGGCCCUGCUUUUGUGGGGUGCUCGAGUGGCGAACGGGUGAGUAACACGUGAGUAACCUGCCCUUGACUUUGGGAUAACUUCAGGAAACUGGGGCUAAUACCGGAUAGGAGCUCCUGCUGCAUGGUGGGGGUUGGAAAGUUUCGGCGGUUGGGGAUGGACUCGCGGCUUAUCAGCUUGUUGGUGGGGUAGUGGCUUACCAAGGCUUUGACGGGUAGCCGGCCUGAGAGGGUGACCGGCCACAUUGGGACUGAGAUACGGCCCAGACUCCUACGGGAGGCAGCAGUGGGGAAUAUUGCACAAUGGGCGGAAGCCUGAUGCAGCAACGCCGCGUGCGGGAUGACGGCCUUCGGGUUGUAAACCGCUUUCGCCUGUGACGAAGCGUGAGUGACGGUAAUGGGUAAAAAGCACCGGCUAACUACGUG
rnacentral:rRNA from 1 species